ACGGAAGAUCCGAGCGUUAUCCGGAUUUAUUGGGUUUAAAGGGAGCGUAGGCGGACUGUCAAGUCAGCUGUGAAAGUUUGCGGCUCAACCGUAAAAUUGCAGUUGAAACUGACAGUCUUGAGUUCAGAUAAGGAUGGUGGAAUUUGUGGUGUAGCGGUGGAAUGCAUAGAUAUCAGGAAGAACACCGAUGGCGAAGGCAGCCAUCUGGGGUGCAACUGACGCUGAGGCUCGAAAGUGUGGGGAUCAAACAG
rnacentral:rRNA from 1 species